GCCACGUGGUCGGCUCUGCCUGCUGCUCCCGGCGCCGUGGAACAGUUGCCGGUAACCCGCUGCGUUGUGUACACGUAUGGCCUUACAAAUCUCAGAAUACUGAGAUCUCUGUUUUCCGACUGGUGCACGAGAUGGGGUAUGUUGGGGCAGACAGAUUAUGAAGCUUGGAUUCAAAGAGUACCUUGGCAGAGGCAGACCCAAAACAGGAACCCAGCUCUCCAAAUUCCCAGGCCGGUGGACUCCCACAAGUGUACAGGAAGGAAUGACUGAGAAUUAUUUCAAAUUUUGAAUUUAAAAAAUUCAGAGUCAUAAAAUUCUGGCCUUAAUUUUUGAUUUUGAUCCAUAUGAGAGAUGAAACUGACCUGGCAAGAGAUAACUGUAUCUAUCCUCUACCAUCAACAUCCUAACCAAGAAUGAAAAAGUUGCAUCACCCCUUGUUUACAUACGAGUUGUAGUCCUGCUACACAGACGUCAAAGAGAAAAAGAAGUCACCUGGAGCCUUGGGCAGGUCUCCACAAAAUGACUGAGAGUCCCUCUGCAAUUAUACAAAAUCCUGCAAAGACAUGAAUACAGACUCAAUCAUGGAGUCUGUUAAAUCUGAGCUGCACCGUGACUGGCAAUGCAUCGCUCUCUCCUUGUGCACUGCGUCACGAAGGAAGAUGGGGACUCAACAUGAAUUAGAUGUCAGCAAGCUCACAGAGGGUAGCCCUUUCCACAUUCCCUCUACUUCCAAAUGCAGCAAGCUAUCUCAAAAU
rnacentral:lncRNA from 1 species